rnacentral:rRNA from 1 species
UACGUAGGGUGCAGGCGUUAAUCGGAAUUACUGGGCGUAAAGCGUGCGCAGGCGGUUUCUUAAGUCAGAUGUGAAAGCCCCGGGCUUAACCUGGGAACUGCGUCUGAUACUGGAAGGCUUGAGGAUGGGAGAGGGAUGUAGAAUUCCAGGUGUAGCGGUGAAAUGCGUAGAUAUCUGGAGGAAUACCGGUGGCGAAGGCGGCAUCCUGGACCAUUACUGACGCUGAGGCGCGACAGCGUGGGGAGCAAACAGG